rnacentral:rRNA from 1 species
UGCCGCGUGCAGGACGAAGGCCUUCGGGUUGUAAACUGCUUUUGUACGGAACGAAACGGUCUCUUUUAAUACAGGAGGCUAAUGACGGUACCGUAAGAAUAAGCACCGGCUAACUACGUGCCAGCAGCCGCGGUAAUACGUAGGGUGCGAGCGUUAAUCGGAAUUACUGGGCGUAAAGCGUGCGCAGGCGGUUAUAUAAGACAGAUGUGAAAUCCCCGGGCUCAACCUGGGACCUGCAUUUGUGACUGUAUAGCUAGAGUACGGUAGAGGGGGAUGGAAUUCCGCGUGUAGCAGUGAAAUGCGUAGAUAUGCGGAGGAACACCGAUGGCGAAGGCAAUCCCCUGGACCUGUACUGACGCUCAUGCACGAAAGCGUGGGGAGCAAACAGGAUUAGAUACCCUGGUAGUCCACGCCCUAAACGAUGUCAACUGGUUGUUGGGUCUUCACUGACUCAGUAACGAAGCUAACG